UUAUAAUUGGUUCCUUUAAGGUCAUUGUUUUUCUGCAGUAGGUCAGUUUUAGUCAAGUCUACACUGAAGAGGAAUCGUGCAGAUUAUGAGAUUCAAGUUGGAAAUGUUACUUUCAAUAUUUACUUUAAUAAUGUUCCCUAACUUUAUGACAUCUUUGUCCUAGAUGCAUAAACCUCCUUCACCUUCCAAAUCUGCAAUGAGUUUGGUUUGCAGUGUGUUGCUGGGCACAACCAGGACAGUGUCUGUGCAAGACAGCAGGCUGACAAGGGGCGCAGGAGCUUGAAGACGCAUCCUCAGUGGGGAAGAGUGGUGUGAC
rnacentral:lncRNA from 1 species